ACAACUGUCAUCGCUCUCCACUCCACAAUGGUUACGCUACUAGGUUCGUACUCAGUAGCGUAAGAAAACUCGGGACGCAAGGUCAGAACUCCCAAGUCUACGAACAAACCACCGUUUCGGUACUCUGGCAAUCCAGUAAGGAGUUCCUCGUUGACAACGGGGACUUUGAGAAGAGAUUUAAAGGGAAUAAGUAGGGAGUAAGUAAGCCAUUGCGUAAGCUUGUGGAAGGGUUGAAUGGCAUCAAUGGUGG